AAUAGCCCAUCGCCGAACGGCAGGCCCUCUUGGUCUCGCUGAAUGUGGCGUUUGGGAGAGUCUUAUCGCGGUGUGGACGGCCAGUCAAAGUCCAACUUGACAGUGGCCAUGGCCCGUAGAGGGUGAUAGGCCCGUAAGACGGCUGUCCCACUGCGCUGACUUUUCCCUAGAGUCGGAUUGCUUGGGAGUGCAGUCCAAAGUGCGAGGUAAACUCCUCGUAAGGCUAAAUAUGACCCCGAGUCCGAUAGCAAACAAGUACCGUGAGGGAAAAUUGAAAAGAACUUUGAAGAGAGAGUUCAAGAGUACGUGAAACCGUCUAGCGGUAAAGAGAGGGGUUCUCGAAGUUUCUGAGGGGGACUCAACCUUGGUGGUGCUUGGCCUGGGCGUAUUUGAUCAGCAAUGACUUUGCGUUUAGUCCCAUGUGCCUCCCGGACGCACUUUCUCCUCAGUUUACGGCAGGAACCGUUAGGAUGUGGACUGAAGGCCCAGGGUGAAGUUGUUGGUUAUGCUGGCAGCCCUUGGUGUCCUAGCUUCGCGUCUGACGGGUAUGUAAGYGAACUCGUAUAGCGAACAAUUCCUCUAUUGGCGGUUCCGCCAUU
rnacentral:rRNA from 1 species